AUUGAACGCUGGCGGCAGGCCUAACACAUGCAAGUCGAGCGGGCGGCGGACGGGUGAGUUAUGUAUGGGGAUCUGCCUGAUGGAGGGGGAUAAGUACUGGAUGCGGUAGCUAAUACAGCUUAGCAUCGGAUGGACGCAUAUGGGAUGAGCUUGUAGGUGAGGUAACGGCUCACCUAGGCGACGAUCCCUAGCUGGUCUGGGAGGAUGAUCAGCCACACUGGGACUGAGACACGGCCCAGACUCCUACGGGAGGCAGCAGUGGGGAAUAUUGCACAAUGGGCGCAAGCCUGAUGCAGCCAUGCCGCGUGUAUGAAGAAGGCCUUCGGGUUGUAAAGUACUUUCAGUCGGGAGGCGUUACCGACAGAAGAAGCACCGGCUAACUCCGUGCCAGCAGCCGCGGUAAUAC
rnacentral:rRNA from 1 species